rnacentral:rRNA from 1 species
UAAACUAGGAUUAGAUACCCUAUUAUUAUAAAUGUAAAUUAUUAUACUAAAUUAGUAUUAGUUAUUUUCUUUAAAAUUAAAAAAUUUGGCGGUAUUUUAGUCUUUUCAGAGGAACCUGUCCUGUAAUUGAUAGUCCACGAUUAUAAUUACUUUAAUUUUGAAUUUACAUAUCGUCGUAGUUUGAAUAUUUUAUUAGAAUUAAAAUAUUCAAAAUUUUAUAUUAAAAAAUAAAUCAGAUCAAGGUGUAGUUUAUAUUAAAGAAGAGAUGGGUUACAUUAAAAUUAUUUAAAGAUAAUUUUUUUUAAGAGAAAUUUGAAUUUGGAUUUGAUAGUAAUUUAUUAAAUUUAUUUUAAGUGAGUAUAGCUCUAAAAUAUGUACACAUCGCCCGUCGCUCUUAA